rnacentral:rRNA from 1 species
UCGCUCCUACGGGGGGCAGCAGUGGGGAAUAUUGGGCAAUGGGCGCAAGCCUGACCCAGCAACGCCGCGUGAAGGAAGAAGGCUUUCGGGUUGUAAACUUCUUUUCUCAGGGACGAAGCAAGUGACGGUACCUGAGGAAUAAGCCACGGCUAACUACGUGCCAGCAGCCGCGGUAAUACGUAGGUGGCAAGCGUUAUCCGGAUUUACUGGGUGUAAAGGGCGUGUAGGCGGGCCUGCAAGUCAGAUGUGAAAACCACUGGCUCAACCUGUGGCCUGCAUUUGAAACUGUAGUUCUUGCGUACUGG